AUUUAUUCUUUAAAUAGAUGACAUGUUGAUUUCUAAUCAGUCAUCAGGCUAUCAACAAUGGUUUUUUCAUUCAACACCCUCCACGUCAUCUUCUUUUUUCCACAUCAUUUCUUCUCUCUUCCACAUAAUAAUUCAAUACCCACUUAAAUUUUAUACUCUACUAUGGUUUGCUUAAUAAAAUUCAACACUCUACCCACUAUUUUUAUUUCAUUUUUCUUUCUUUUAUGUUUUAAAUGGAUAAUUAGUAAAAAUAGAU
rnacentral:sRNA from 1 species